rnacentral:lncRNA from 1 species
AGUGCUUCUGGGGUAUUUCAGCACUAGGUGAUGCAGUCCCCAACGUCCACCUCAGAGCUCUCCAUAGGGAGGAGAAAUGCUCUGUCAGGCUCUCAGCCUUACAGUGAUGAAGGUGGGAAGCGAGCAGUGGGAUUGCCCUGACAGAGAACUUGAGUAGAGGGCAUAGAUAAAGGUUGCUCUGUUUUACUUGUGGGAAACAAUGUGUCUUACUGAAAGGCUCAAUUGUGCAAACUCUGCACCUCCCUGGCCGCAGGAAGCUUUCUGCUUGCCUGACAAGUAGGAAGGUUAAAUAUUGCAGUCCUGCUCUGCGUAGUCCCACCUGCUCAGGACAGAAGAACUGGGAAGUGCUGCUCUGGAGGGAUGGCAGCUGAACACCUGGGGGAGCGGCAGCUGGGCUCAGAAGAGGUUAUCUCCAGGGUGCUACAGUAAUGGCUUUUUCUGAUGCGGCUGGGAUAGCGACAGGUUAUGAUGCAAGGCCUGCGUGGUCAGAGCUGAGGCUGAAGGGGAUUUCAAGUGGUUAGGGAUCUUCGUGGGUGAGCUGAGAGGUGGAGAAAUGCCCCCGCCCUUCUGAGAAAGGAAAUGUGGGAAGAAACCAAGAGUAUAAUUGAACACCCCCUCAGAGUGGAAGGGAUAUAUUUAUAACAGUCAGCAGCUAUAUACAUUUUGUUUGAAUUCUUUUACAGUACAGUAAGCCUUCCCCCCGCCACUGUUGCUAAGAUACAUUACCAUACUUCUGGGCAAAGCAAUCCCUGUCAGAGGAAGUGUAUAGUUCCCAAAGUAUAGGAGAUACAGCAUAGCCUUUAAGUGUUCAAGCAAAAACUUGUCUUUUUGUCGGACUGUUUGUUAAAAGUUCCCCGUGUCCUGUUUUCUGCAGACGUAGGAAACAAUGCAUCAGGGAGGCUGUUUCAGACUCAAACUCUCACAGGCAGACAGCCAAGAGGCAGAAGUCUGAAAACAGCUGAAAAAACUUCAGGCUCAGGAGCGCUGUUUGGUCCUCACCUGGGGCUCAGUAAGACUUUCUUUGGAGUUACUGCUCUUUGGUGCUGCACUUCUGGAUGUAGGAAUGGAGAUCGCAGAAAUGUCUAUACAACUCUGAGGAGAAUGCAAGAGAAGACAGCUUCCACAGUGUAAUGGAGCAGGGCUUGGUUUGGCAGGUGCAGGGCUGUGAAGAGGAGAGCUCUGA